UGCAGCGACGCCGCGUGAGGGAUGACGGCCUUCGGGUUGUAAACCUCUUUCAGUAGGGAAGAAGCGAAAGUGACGGUACCUGCAGAAGAAGCGCCGGCUAACUACGUGCCAGCAGCCGCGGUAAUACGUAGGGCGCAAGCGUUAUCCGGAAUUAUUGGGCGUAAAGAGCUCGUAGGCGGUUUGUCGCGUCUGCCGUGAAAGUCCGGGGCUCAACUCCGGAUCUGCGGUGGGUACGGGCAGACUAGAGUGAUGUAGGGGAGACUGGAAUUCCUGGUGUAGCGGUGAAAUGCGCAGAUAUCAGGAGGAACACCGAUGGCGAAGGCAGGUCUCUGGGCAUUAACUGACGCUGAGGAGCGAAAGCAUGGGGAGCGAACAGGAUUAGAUACCCUGGUAGUCCAUGCCGUAAACGUUGGGCACUAGGUGUGGGGGACAUUCCACGUUUUCCGCGCCGUAGCUAACGCAUUAAGUGCCCCGCCUGGGGAGUACGGCCGCAAGGCUAAAACUCAAAGGAAUUGACGGGGGCCCGCACAAGCGGCGGAGCAUGCGGAUUAAUUCGAUGCAACGCGAAGAACCUUACCAAGGCUUGACAUGGACCGGACCGGGCUGGAAACAGUCCUUCCCCUUUGGGGCCGGUUCACAGGUGGUGCAUGGUUGUCGUCAGCUCGUGUCGUGAGAUGUUGGGUUAAGUCCCGCAACGAGCGCAACCCUCGUUCCAUGUUGCCAGCGCGUAAUGGCGGGGACUCAUGGGAGACUGCCGGGGUCAACUCGGAGGAAGGUGGGGACGACGUCAAAUCAUCAUGCCCCUUAUGUCUUGGGCUUCACGCAUGCUACAAUGGCCGGUACAAAGGGUUGCGAUACUGUGAGGUGGAGCUAAUCCCAAAAAGCCGGUCUCAGUUCGGAUUGGGGUCUGCAACUCGACCCCAUGAAGUCGGAGUCGCUAGUAAUCGCAGAUCAGCAACGCUGCGGUGAAUACGUUCCCGGGCCUUGUACACACCGCCCGUCAAGUCACGAAAGUUGGUAACACCCGAAGCCGGUGGCCUAACCCCUUGUGGGAGGGAGCUGUCGAAGGUGGG
rnacentral:rRNA from 1 species